rnacentral:rRNA from 2 species
GACAUGUGGAGCUUCUAGAAGUGAGAAUGCCGGUAUGAGUAACGAAAGACAGGUGAGAAUCCUGUCCGCCGCAAGACUAAGGUUUCCUGGGGCAGGCUCGUCCGCCCAGGGUAAGUCGGGACCUAAGGCGAGGCCGAGAGGCGUAGUCGAUGGACAACAGGUUGAAAUUCCUGUACUGCACCGAAUCGUUAUGAGCGAUGGAGGGACGCAGGAGGCUAGCAGCGCGUGGUGCUGGAUACCACGUUCAAGCGUCAAGUCUGAGAGCGAGUCAAAUGCUUGCUCUCAUAAGGACAAGGCGUGAUGAGGAGCGAAAUUAAAGUAGCGAAGGCUGCGACGUCACACUGCCGAGAAAAGCUUCUAGCCAGAGACGGUGCACCCGUACCGCAAACCGACACAGGUAGUCGAGGAGAGUAUCCUCAGGUGAGCGAGAGAACUCUCGUUAAGGAACUCGGCAAAAUGGCCCCGUAACUUCGGGAGAAGGGGCGCUGGUCGCAAGAUCAGCCGCAGUGAAAAGGCCCAAGCAACUGUUUAUCAAAAACACAGGCAUCUGCAAAAUCGUAAGAUGAAGUAUAGGUGCUGACACCUGCCCGGUGCUGGAAGGUUAAGAGGAGAGCUUAGCGCAAGCGAAGGUUUGAAUUGAAGCCCCAGUAAACGGCGGCCGUAACUAUAACGGUCCUAAGGUAGCGAAAUUCCUUGUCGGGUAAGUUCCGACCUGCACGAAAGGUGUAAUGAUUUGGGCACUGUCUCAACGAGAGACUCGGUGAAAUUAUAAUACCCGUGAAGAUGCGGGUUACCCGCGACAGGACGGAAAGACCCCAUGGAGCUUUACUGCAGUUUAAUAUUGGGUAUCUGUCAAGCAUGUACAGGAUAGGUAGGAGCCGGAGAAGAUAGGACGCCAGUCUUAUCUGAGGCGCUGUUGGGAUACUACCCUUGCUUGACGGAUGCUCUAACUCAGGCCUGUGAUCCAGGCCGAGGACAGUGUUUGACGGGCAGUUUGACUGGGGCGGUCGCCUCCUAAAGUGUAACGGAGGCGCCCAAAGGUUCCCUCAGAAUGGUUGGAAAUCAUUCGCAGAGUGUAAAGGUAAAAGGGAGCUUGACUGCGAGAGAGACAACUCGAGCAGGUACGAAAGUAGGGCUUAGUGAUCUGGUGGUACCGCAUGGAAGGGCCAUCACUCAACGGAUAAAAGCUACCCUGGGGAUAACAGGCUUAUCUCCCCCAAGAGUUCACAUCGACGGGGAGGUUUGGCACCUCGAUGUCGGCUCGUCGCAUCCUGGGGCUGAAGUCGGUCCCAAGGGUUGGGCUGUUCGCCCAUUAAAGCGGCACGCGAGCUGGGUUCAGAACGUCGUGAGACAGUUCGGUCCCUAUCCGUCGUGGGCGUAGGAAAUUUGAGAGGAGCUGUCCUUAGUACGAGAGGACCGGGAUGGACGCACCGCUGGUGUACCAGUUGUCUUGCCAAAGGCAUCGCUGGGUAGCUAUGUGCGGACGGGAUAAGCGCUGAAAGCAUCUAAGUGCGAAGCCCCCCUCAAGAUGAGAUUUCCCAUUUCUUCAAGAAAGUAAGACACCUCAGAGACGAUGAGGUAGAUAGGCCGGGAGUGGAAGAGCCGUGAGGCUUGGAGCGGACCGGUACUAAUCAGUCGAGGACUUGACCAAAA